CCGAAGCCAGCUUUUUCCGUCAACAGCAUCAUCCACCGAAACAUUUCGUUGACCCCGUUCAUCCACGCAUCCACCGAAGCUACCACAUCCAGUGCGUCUCUCUCUCUUUGCUCCUCACGCUGCUACUCCACCACCGUCUGUUUCUCCACGCGUUCAAGCUCAACCCUCCGAUCAACACUAAGCAGCACAAAGCAACCGAUGUUGACCCAAGCAUCCACGUGGCCAGCGACCUUCAACCGUUGAGAGCUCCGAAUAUUGACUGAAGCAGCCCCAAAAGUCCACGAAGCAAGUCCACCGACCCUUCAACAAGCCCACGCAGUCCAGUCCAUCUUCGCUUGAGUGUGUCUCGGCCAGCAAACCCGCUUCUUCGGUCAAUCUUCACCCAACGAAGACCGAGUAGCCCCCAUCGAAUUGGAGACUGAAGCUGCUCCCUCCAGUCAAUCUUCAAACCAGCCGAACUCCUCUGUUGAACCGUGUUCCUUCCUCACGCGGGCAGCACCGAGCGAAGCAGCAGUCCGCGAUUUCUUUUCCGCCCGCUCACCAUCGUCACCUGCAGUUCACGCAUCUCCUUGGCCCAACAGAAUUCAGUCUUCGGGCCCAGCAAAGCCAGCAGGUUCCAGUUUUGGUCUCGGCCCAUCUUCAAGUAAUUCUGGCCCAGCAAGCAGCCCACAAUUCAGCAGCUUCAAGCCCAGUGGAUUAAAGAAAAUCAGUUCAACUUGAAGCCCAGUCCAGCAAUUCGAAGCCAAGCGAGAUUUGCCUAGUUUUGAGGCCCAAGCUCGUGAAGACCAGCCCUUGUGGAUUAGCCCAUCAGCCCGUGAAAAUUUCAGUAGGCCCAAGCCCAGAAUUUCUGUGGACUUGCAAGGUUUCUUGACCCGAUCCAAGAUCGUCGAAAGCUUGAUUUCGGCCGCCAUCGCGUCGCCGUUGCGGUGAUUCGAUCUCCGCUUUUGUCAAGUGAGUUUUACUCACUAAAGCUUUAUUAGUUUGCUAAUUAUGCUUAAGGUUGGUUAGAUUUAAUUAAGUGCAAUUAGGUGGUUAGAUUAGGUUAGAACAAUUAAAUUAGUGACUUAAGAAUGCAUGUUAGGUGGUUAGACCUAGCUAUUAGCAAGUAGAAAUGUUUGAUUAUUUAUUGAAUGUAUCUCGGGAUUUUUUCCGACCCGUUUCGGGCUCCAAUAAGGCAAUAUAGGCCUAAAUUGGAUUUUUAAUGUUUAUUUAUUUAUUUUCGAAAUUUAUUUAUUUAAUUAAUUAUUUUUCCGGAAAUUCAACCGGGAUGGCCGGUGACCGGAAUUCCGUGCUGAUUGUCGUGGUGCAGACCGUUUAUUUAUUUGAGCUCUACGUUGUGUGGAAUUGAAUUUAUUGUGGAAUUUUAGGAAUUGUCCUAAAUUGUUUGUUAUUAAAUAUUUGAUUGAUGGAUGGCUGAGUAUGGGUAUAUAGCGCCAGUACGUUGAUGGGCUAUUUAGUAGGGAGAAUGGUGAGACCAAUCAGGUACGAUAUGAUUGGACAUACGUGGUUCGGUGAUUGGAAGUAUCACUGGCGAAAACGGCGCCUUAAAGAACGCACGUAAAUGACUUAUAGACACACGUGGUUCGGUGAUUAUGGGAAUAUCACUGGUGAAAACGGCGCCUUAAAGAACGCACGAUGUUGUCUAUAGCCGAUGUCACCUUGGCGAAAACGGCGCCCUUGAGAGACACGUGGUUCGGUGAUCAAGGUUAUCACUGGUGAAAACGGCGCCUUAAAGAACGCACGGUGUCGGUGAUCGGUAUGUCAUUGGCGAAAACGACGCCCGAGAAACAUGUGAUUUGGUGAAUGAGUACACCACUGAGAAAGCAUGGUAUGAGUGGGAAUGACCUAGAGAGGGUCUGACUGACAUGUAAUCGACUUAGUCGAUUGAUCAAUGCUUGAUCGGAUGUCUUGAAUUGUUUGAAUAUCUAUGUUUAACCUUGAAUUGCAGGUUGGAACUGAGACUAAGGUAAGUCCUCUGACUCGUGUUGUGCUUAGGCAACCGUAUGGCAUAUUAGUUUACUAAUCGAGUCGUAGGGGGUAGGACUCGCUGAGACGUGGUCUCAUUGGUUAUUGAAUAACCAUUUCAGGACCCUGAGGAGAAGCUAAGGAAGGGGAACCUGAAGGGGAGAAAGACUUUUGAAGAAGAAGAUGAUCCAGAGAGGGAUCUUGAAUAUAACCCGGAUGUGGAUUGAGAUCCCAUCCCUUUUGUGAACCCUGUCUUGGUAUAGAUAGGUGUGAGACUUUUAUGUUGUAAAUAGUAUUGUAAAUAUACUAUGAGUUGUGCUGUUAUCGAAAGUAUGGUUGUGAAUUUCAAUAUGAAAAAUAUGGCCUGCUUUCCUAUCCCAUUGUUUUAUUGUCUGGGGAUUUAUAACUGCUUCCGCAUGUGCUUAAUAAAAAGAAAGGGUCGGCGAUACAUAGUCCUGGGAUAUCGCAUUAUAAAAUUGACCAAGUAGAAGGAUGUGCGCGCGUCCGAGGAUCGGGGCGUGACAUCCCCUUUUUGUGGUAUCAGAGCUAUGGUUAGGUAUUGGAGUGAUAAGGAGCAUUGACCAUGGGAUAGUUGGUAGGAAAGACCUUUAAAUUCAUGAUGGUGCAUGUCUGUGUUAGCUGAAUGCUAAAAUUGUUUGUGGUGUGUGGAUCGCUCACCUUCUAAUCCAGUGUGGAUUUGGAAGACGGGUUGCAGUGUAAAGACUGAACCAUGAGCGAGUAGGAGUUAAGAACUCCUAGUGAGAGGACAAUGUCCUCUGUGACUCGGGAUAAUGCACUGACAAAGGUCAGUACCCGAGGUGGUUGUGGCAGAGUGUUGACUCUGGCCAGCUCGAGUGUAAGAGUACCAUCGCAGGUUGGUACUGGUGUAGCAGCGUCUAAUGAUCCUAAGUUCGAUAGGAUCGUUCUGAUGCUAGUGUUCCUUGGGGACUGGAUGAGCCAGUAAGCUCAGGAUCAAGCCAUUGUUGUUGUUGUCGCUAUCGCAACCGUUGUUGUCGCCUUGCCUGCUGAGAUCCAGAGUGGAGACGUGAUCCGGGAGCGAGUCAUUACAUUCGAGCCAAGGUAUAGAUCCAGUUCAAGCAGAAAUGUGAAUCGAUCAGAGAAAAGACCAAGGUCGAGAGAAAAGGUAUUCUAUUUCACUCUCGAGGAAGGGUGGGAUAGUCAAGUCAGCACUGAGCAUAAUAGAUCAAGUUGUUUUUAGACGUGAUGAUGGAGAUCGGUAUUAUGUCCUUCAUAGGACACGAAAUUGUUUAGAGUAUAGCCAACGGGGAUAUCUGGUUAGGAGUGAUCCUAGCAGACUGAUGAGGCAACCAGAAAGAGUGCAUGCUUUCGCCUAAUAGAAGAUAGAAGAUGCACCAGAAAGGUGACAGAAUUGUAGAAAGCAGUAUGGAUAAAUCCAGUGUCUGAGUAUGACGAGAACCUGUUGUGUUGAUGACCAACAUGGCCAUCAGGUGACGGACUGUCAGUGGAAGUCUAAGGUAGCAUAGACAUUGCUACUGUGGCAAGGAAGGAAUGGGAGUAGAAUGGACCUUGCAUCGAUCAGAGAAAGAAUGUGUUGGAAGUGAUUUUAUCAGAGCAGCGUAGCAAAGUUUUGUGCUGAGUUGGUAGAACUUAAAUUGUUGACGUAAAAGUGAAAGAGAGGGAAUCACUAGCAAUAGUCAUGCUUGACUAGUUGCUGAAGUGUGAGUUUGAUGCCACAUGAAUAGUGUGGGCUCAUGGAGCAUCUAGUGAUAAUGAAUCACGAUCAUGGAGUAAGCCAGUUUAGUCCAUUAGCAUGUGAAAGUGUCAAGGUUAUUGGGAGUCAAAAAGAAUCUUCGAUUUCAUUAAUCUUGCUGGCUGAAGGUAACUUGUUUGUUAGAUGGAGGUUACCAAGGUUGCUUGCGCGAGUGUCUUGGGUAAGACUGAUUGGAGAACUAGAGAUGGAGGACAUCUCAGUGGUCUACAAAAUUCUAGAUGUGUUGUCACUAGAACUGUCAGACCGCCGUCAGAGAAAGAGAUAGAAAUUAUGAUUGAGUUAGCACCAGCAUAAAGCCACUCUCGAAUGCUUCUUACCAGGUAUUGUUGUUUGAAUUGAUAGAACCGAAAGUACGGAUGUGAAGAUUGAUGAAUGAGGAAUUCAUACAUAUUAGUGCAUCGCUUUAAGGAACAUCAGUUUUGUGGAAAGAGAAAUGAAAAUGGUUCAUUGCAAGCAUACAUCAACCAUUGUCAACUUAAUUGGGUGACUUGUUAUAAAGAAUGUUGAUGUCUUCAAGGAUCGACUUGAGGACAGGUUAUCUUCAGUUGAGGACCAGGAAGGAGGUUAUACUAAAGACAACACUUCACACUUGAUUUAGCCUUGUGAGAAUAAUGUAAAGCCAUUUGAUUUGACGAACGCUUCAGCCACUGUCAUAAAUUUGACAAACUGGGUGUUCAAAGAAUACCUAGAUCAAUGGUGAUCGUGUGAUGUGGCGACGUUCUAGGGUGUUCAUUAAGUGAUGAGGAUCCCGAGAGCCCUAAGAAUGGUCAUGUGAUUAUAGGUUAAGGAAUCUCAUGGACCCAGCCUAGAUUGAAUCAGUUGUUUAUGGACCGAGAUCGACAUCAAUGUCAGAGAUCAGAAGCUGUGGGGAUUGGACAGAUUACUACAGAAGGUUUGUGGAAGAAUUUUCAGCAUCAACACCAUCGUGGGUUUGAUCUCUUAAGAAAGAAGAGAAAUUCAUCAGCAUAGACAAGUACGAGGAUAGUUUCCAAAGCUUAAAUAAGAACAGACUAUCGUACUUGUGCUAAACUUUUCAUUUGGCUCCGGAAAGCACGGAAUCUUUAGUGAUGUGUCUUGUAGAGGAUGGGUAUGCAUUGAUACAACAUGAGAAGAUUGUUGUAUCACCGUUCCGCCAGUUGAGACCAAAUAAGUGAAAUGCGAAACGGUGUCGUGAACCAGAAUUUUGGCAGAACUAUAAUAGUGAUAUUGGGUAUCACCUUGGAGGAACGAAAUGAGUCAUUAAUGUGUUGAGCCGAGAGUCUUCAGUUGUGUAGAGACUGGCUAAAGUAUAGACUUUACUUGAAAAGGAUUUGAAAUUUGGUUUUCAAAUUUGAGGUAGGCUACCUUUUGAAUUUUAUAGUUGCCCUCAAAAAUUGAGCCAAAUGUUCAAGUUGGAAUCAUCGCCUCGUUGACAGACAGAGAUGUUCAGAGAUCUUAUAAGAUGAUGCUGGCAAGAAAGAAUUUGACUUUAAGAUUUAUGAGAAUGGAAAGUUCAGGUUCCAUGAGUGAUUGAAUACACUUGACAGUGUAGCACUCAGGGAAAAGAUCUUGUCAGAAGUUCACUAUAGUAUUGCAACUUUGAUCAGAUGGUGCAAGUAAAUCAGAAUCAACAUCAGCUAGAUUAGUAAGCUGAUAUGAAGAUAAAUAUAGCUGAGCAGGUUGCGAGUGUUAGAAGUGUCAGUAAGUGGAAGCUCCGUAAUGCGAACCGGGAGAAUUUUACCAUCACUUGAGAGUCCCAAGNNNNNNNNNNNNNNNNNNNNNNNNNNNNNNNNNNNNNNNNNNNNNNNNNNNNNNNNNNNNNNNNNNNNNNNNNNNNNNNNNNNNNNNNNNNNNNNNNNNNGAAGUGUCAGUAAGUGAAGCUCGUAAUGCGGAACCGGAGAAUUUACCAUCACUUGAGAGUCCCAAGUGGAAAUGGAAAUAUAUCACAAGGGAAGAUUAUCAUAGGCUUACUAAAGAUUCAGGGGAUUACUGAUACCAUUUGAGAAUGGUGGUUGAUCAAUAGAUGGAGUUGGUCCACUUUGGUACAGUACGAAUAGAUCUUGUUUUGAGUGUGUGACAUCCAAAUUUCGGACUCUGAUUUCGAUUAGAUAAAUUGGGCAUUUCAUCGACGCAAUUACAGUGUUUUUCUCUGAGUUGGCCAUUUAUGAGAUAACUAGACUAGCUGGGUGAGUUAUUACGGACCUUAAGGCAAAUAGACCUGAGAAUUCGACCAUGGAUUGACUUCUCGACCGUGCUCAUCUUUAGAGAUCAUUGCGGCACAGUAUAAAACCCGAUUUGAAAUCAAAGAUAGAUCGAUUCGACUGAGAUGAAUGACCGAUCGUGGGUGACUCCACUAAAUUGGAAAAAUCUCAUCGACCGACACUAAUUUGAUGUUUCUAUCGUUUUGGCGCCCUGUGUCCGUAUUUGAAUCUUUGAGAUUUUCACGACAAUCGAGAGUCACCAAUGGGUUGAGUGGGUUUAUUGUGGCUCGAAGAAAAUCGACCACGGGUCAUUUGUCCUAAAAAGCUCUGAACACUACCCAGUAGCCUAGGUCACACUAAAAGCGUGUCGAAAUGAAAUUAACCGCCAAUCUAAGUUCGAUUUCAAAAAUUGAAGAUUCUAUCUUAUCAGAGUGGGUAUAUCGAAGUGUGUGUGCAUCAGAUAAUUUGCCGGCAUGGAGUGCCGAGGAUGAAUUAUAUUCGAAUCUAAAUCAGAGAGUAAAUUUGGCAAAGUUUUCAGAGGGUUCUUUCUUAAGCAGUGUUAUAGAAGAGGGUACAGAAUUUCAGUGGUGAAAAGAAAGUGAAGAAGAUUUCAGGCCAAAGUCAGUACAGUAGUCAGUUAUUGCAGUUGCCAAGAUCAGUGUCAGAGUUAUAUCAGAUCUUGAUCAGAGGUUCCCAGUUUCAGCAGAUCAGUCAGAUAGUUUCUUUUUAAUCAGUACAGGGCAGAGUAUACAGGAUUUCAGUCAGUUGAGAUGAGAUCAGAAAUCAGAAAAUCGCAAGUCCGAAGUCAGCUCAGAAAUCAGUGUUUACAGUUGUCAGAUCAGUGUCAAAGUAAAGACUGUUCAGAACUGUCAGAAAUUUUGAAUCGUUGAGAUUCGAAAGUUUAUUAGGGAGUCGAGAAAAAGAGAUCAGAUAUGGAUGAUAGGGUGUCUUAUGUGAGAAGCUCAGUUCAGUUGUUGGUUCAGAAAGAGCAGAGUUAGUGUACCAAGAUGAUCUCCUUAAUCGAAAUGGUCAAACAACACCACGAGACCGAAGGAUUAGUAUGGAGUAAUGAGACUCAAUGAAAUGACAAUAACCCCACCUUUUGUAUAAGGAUCGGUGAAAGUUUAAAUUUCGAGGACGAAAUUUUUUUAAGAGGGGAAGAAUUGUGACAUCCAGAAUUUUCAGUAUUAAUUUCAAUUGAAUUAAUCAGGUCAUUUCUAUGCAAUUGAAGCCGGGGAUUAUGAAAUUGAGAUGCAUGAUGGGUGCAUGAGUGAGGAAAAAUAGCAAUUGAGACUUUGAGGCAUCAAUUAAUUUUUAUGAGAACCGAUGGAGAACAAUUGAGGGAGAUUUGAUGUACAAUGGAAGCCUUGGCUAAGAAAUUCGUAGCACCCCAUAAGACCUAACCUUUGGACCUUUUAAACCUUCUAGAUGAGGGCAUUUUGGGCUGCAAAGAGCUGGUGGAAGACAGCUAUGGCUUUGGUCCAAGAUUAGGGAACAAAAGAGAUAUUUGUUGUGGAAUAUCAAGCCAAGUGGAGCCCUCACCCCUCAUCUCUAUCCAUCUAUCUCUUACUCAUCUUCUCGUUCAAGCUGCAGUGGAUCGUUUCUCCUCCAUCCUCCGAAUUGUGCGACGCCAGCAGCUGAAGAAGACCAAGCUGCUUCCCUCCGAAAUUCCCUUCGUCCGCCAGCCUCGCACACGCGUCCAAACUCUGCUGCUUCGGUCAACAAGCGAGCCACCGAGGCUUCUCAAUUGACCCAGAAGCUCGCCUCGUUGCCACUUGGCAGCACCUGCGUUUGGUUCGGUCAACAAGCGGAGUUGAAGACAGCCGAAGGAAGCCGCACGUUCCACCGAGAACUGUUGUCCACCGAGCUUCCAUCUUCAAUGCCCGAAGUCCUCCUCCGAAGCCAGCUUUUUCCGUCAACAGCAUCAUCCACCGAAACAUUUCGUUGACCCCGUUCAUCCACGCAUCCACCGAAGCUACCACAUCCAGUGCGUCUCUCUCUCUUUGCUCCUCACGCUGCUACUCCACCACCGUCUGUUUCUCCACGCGUUCAAGCUCAACCCUCCGAUCAACACUAAGCAGCACAAAGCAACCGAUGUUGACCCAAGCAUCCACGUGGCCAGCGACCUUCAACCGUUGAGAGCUCCGAAUAUUGACUGAAGCAGCCCCAAAAGUCCACGAAGCAAGUC
rnacentral:lncRNA from 1 species